GUGCCAGUGAGAAGACUUCCGAUCAGUCUCAGUUGGUGAUCAAGUGGUGCACGGCCCAUACAUAUUUGGUUAUAAGUUGGCUAAUGGCCCAGCAGAAAACUUCAGAGAUCCACAUUGAAAAGAGGUGCCGGACCAACAGAGCCCACGGCGGUACGACGGACGAACAGCGUCGCCGCAGGGCACCAUAUGGCCAGGCUCCGAUACCUCCGGCGAUGUCCGCGGUGCCAUUGCCGCACCACCCGCAGCACCCUUCACCUUUUACUUGUGCCGUGCCUUCACUCGGCCGUCGUUCCCCAAGGUCGCGGUGUCUAAAUGUGUGGUUCUGGAAAUAAGAGCUAAUGCCGACCAGGUGUUUGAUGAAAUGGCUAGGCCGCAAAAGGCAUGCAGGCGAAGACGAGGUGUAACGAGGGCUGCAGACACUUCCUCUGCGAAUGGUGAUUCCAACUGCUCCAAUGCACCCUGAAGGCGUUUUCUAGUGAAAGAGAUUGCCUCAUCAAGUAUUUCCUCAUUAUGAAUCCUCAGAUGUGCAGCAUUAUAUAAACUCAGCAAACUUGCUGUAUCAGAGUCAAUGAAAUUUCCUUCCUUGUCUUGGAAUUUACGAAAUACAUCUGCAAAGUUGAUUGGCAAUUAGCAGAAGAUAAAACCGGAGCGAGACCACGUGUAGAUUACCAUCGUCGUGGUCAGAGUUGAAAACAACAUCCAGUUGCUGGCUGAUCUCCUUCUCGUAGUGGUAGUCCAAACCAAGCCGCUCUAUCGACAUUAUGAGGUCUAAUGUUUUUGCAGGCAGGCAUUGCUCCGGGUCCACAUGCAGGCAGAUAGAUACCUGGGCUUGAAGCGGCGGCUGGAAAGUAUUGAAGAAUUCGCCCCAGAGACACGGGUGGAAAGUGCUCUUGAUCUCCUGCUGGUGCUGGACGCCGGCGCAAACUCCAUUUGCCGUUGCUGCUGCCAUUCCUGAUUCUAUCUUCUGGUAGCUUAGCUUGCUAAGAUGCAGGCCGGCCGGUGCUUCAGUUUAGCACAAACCGAGAGCUCUUCGCAGCUGUUGUUGUUGUAGGUGUACCAUGCACACUGAGCUGGGUAUAUAUAGAGGGAGCCAGAGGGAGCCAAUUAGUUAAUCAUUGUUUUAUACUUGUGCCUCGUAAGUAAGUCAGCCUCGUGUGAGACGACAGCCCACUGCGUGGAUCGCUCUUGGUCAAAAGUCCAUAGCACAUGGUCUCGUUAUUAGCUGCUCGCCUGCCGGCCCUUCAGGCAGUGGAUUGACUGCGCAACUCUCUCUGCAAAUGUAUGCAAAGGUUAUACGGAGUAUUACUUUUUUUCCUUUUUCUCUUUGAAACUACAAGUCAAAAAAAUAUGUUCAUCAUUCCACACA